UGACCCAGUAUCUCCAUCUCGUGCCAAGGC
rnacentral:piRNA from 1 species